rnacentral:lncRNA from 1 species
GCUGCCCCAGGAGGUGCUGGCUUCCUGGACAGUUGGCACUUGGUGUCUGUUGUGAACGCAGACUGACCGCAGGGGCCCCGCCUCCAAGGCCUCCAGAUUCCUGCAGGUCAGGCUUCAGGGCAGAGACAGGUGUGUGUGAGAUUUCCGCUUAGAGUCAGGCAGAUGCCUGCUGCGCCCAGUCGCUAGCUCCUGUCCCACGGCUGCCCUGGUCCCUGUGUCCCCGCCCUGUGCUGCCAGCUCCCAUGCCAUCCUCCCAGCAUCCGCCCAUCCCGUGGGGCCCGAGCCCUGGAGAGCCCCACCCAGAAAACUUGCCAAGGCCCUGUUUGUGAUAUGGGGGAGGGGCGAUCAGUGUCCGCUCAUCCCAGCUGCCCGAGGGGGUCGGGGUUGAAGCGGCACGGCAGGCUCCCUACAUCAGCCACCCCUCGCCUCCCCAUCCCAGCCAGGCUGUCCCGAUUUCUCCAGCUCUGCCUGGUGCGGGCCCCUGCGCCUCCGGGUAGGCGUGGAGUUGAGUCCAGCACGUGGCCACGACCCUCCAAAGGCCUGUUCCUGUGCCCUGCGCCCUCCCUGCAGCUGCCUGUUCCAGGAGCCUGCCUGCUAGCUUGGCCGUGGGGUGCCAGGACACUUCAGGUGGGAGGACCCGGGCUGAUCCACGAGCACGUGCAGAGCCUCCAGGCUACCGCGAGACCCCCACUGAAAAUCUUUCUGAGCUGGCAGCUUUCCACUGGGCCAGUCACUCACCCUGCAGGCGGGCUGAGUGAUGCAGGCUGCGUGACUCGUUCCGGCCUUCUCCAGAACGCGAGACUCCGCAGUCCAGUGGGCGGGCCUGACCUGGCAGGGCAAAUGCAGUCCCACGCAGCAGGAGGAAGGCUCCUUUGGGGUGCGGCCCUCCACCAGGACACUGACCAGCGCAUCUGUGGCAAGACCUCCUGUCUGUCUCACGCAGGACUGUGCAGAGGCCCCGCCUCUGGACCAUCAAGGGGGUGGGAGCCGUGUGGGGUGGGACUGGGCUUGAAGGGGGGCCGUGGGUGGAAGGACAGUAGGCUUCCCAAGAGGACACCCCUGCC